GUGGAUUAGAUACCCUGGUAGUCCACGCCCUAAACGAUGUCUACUAGUUGUCGGGUUUUAAUUAACUUGGUAACGCAGCUAACGCGUGAAGUAGACCGCCUGGGGAGUACGGUCGCAAGAUUAAAACUCAAAGGAAUUGACGGGGACCCGCACAAGCGGUGGAUGAUGUGGAUUAAUUCGAUGCAACGCGAAAAACCUUACCUACCCUUGACAUGUCAGGAAGUCCGGAGAGAUCUGGAUGUGCCCGAAAGGGAGCCUGAACACAGGUGCUGCACGGCCGUCGACAGCU
rnacentral:rRNA from 1 species